GCUGCCGUGAUCGUGGUCUGCAGCACGCGC
rnacentral:snRNA from 1 species